rnacentral:rRNA from 1 species
CCUACGGGUGGCAGCAGUCGAGAAUCAUUCACAAUGGGGGAAACCCUGAUGGUGCGACGCCGCGUGGGGGAAUGAAGGUCUUCGGAUUGUAAACCCCUGUCAUGUGGGAGCAAAUUAAAAAGAUAGUACCACAAGAGGAAGAGACGGCUAACUCUGUGCCAGCAGCCGCGGUAAUACAGAGGUCUCAAGCGUUGUUCGGAAUCACUGGGCGUAAAGCGUGCGUAGGCUGUUUCGUAAGUCGUGUGUGAAAGGCGGGGGCUCAACCCGCGGACGGCACAUGAUACUGCGAGACUAGAGUAAUGGAGGGGGGACCGGAAUUCUCGGUGUAGCAGUGAAAUGCGUAGAUAUCGAGAGGAACACUCGUGGCGAAGGCGGGUUCCUGGACAUUAACUGACGCUGAGGCACGAAGGCCAGGGGAGCGAAAGGGAUUAGAUACCCUUGUAGUC